CCGGAAUAUGGGGGCCUUUGUCUCCGGCUGCAGCUGGAGUUCUACGUCUAGUCUUCAGAGGCCCAGUCUCCGUGACUUUGUGACCUGCAGGUAUUGGGAGAUCCACAGCUAAGAUGCCAGGACCCCCUGGAAGCCUAGAAAUGAUGGAGUUUUGCUCCUGUUGCCCAGGCUGGAAAUGCUAUCGUGUGAUCUUGGCUCACUGCAACCUCCCCAUCCCAGGUUCAAGCAAUUCUCCUGCCUCAGCCUCCCGACUAGCUGGGAUUACAGGCAUGCGCCACCACGCCUGGCUAAUUUUGUAUUUUUAGUAGAGAUGGGGAUUCUCCAUGUUGGCCAGGCUCAUCUCAAACUCCCAACCUGAGGUAAUCCACCCGCCUUGGCCUCCCAAAGUGCUGGGAUUACAGGUGUGAGCCACUGUGUCCGGCACCUUUUUUUUGAGAACAAGAAGAAAAUGUGCAGAGUCUGUGUCUGGCUAUGUGAUAGGUAAGAAAAGACAGCACCAUCUAAGUCAUAAUGGGAAGGGUGUUUCUUUCCAUAAGCUGUUCCUGGAGCACACGAUGGAUGGAUAAUUUUAUUAAUCACAGCUAUUUUCUAGGAUUAUGUAUAAGCUUCAUUUUUUCCCAGCUCUUUUUUUGGUCCUAUAUGUUUUUUCCAUUUGACUUUUCCUGGGUUGUGGCUUUUACAAUAAACUGGUAAACAUGCUGAGUUCUGUGAGUAGCUCUAUCAAAUUAUUGAACUUCAGGGAGCUUAUGGGAGUUCUGAAUUUUUAAACAGUAGCUUACAAGCACAGAUGGGCCCAAGGGGUUUGUGAUUGGCAUCUGCUGUGAGGUCAAUGUAUUGAGACUAAGCCUGGAAUCAGGUUCUGUGCUGACUCUGGGUAGGGUCAGAAUUCAAAUGUUGGACAAUUAGUUGGUGUUGCAGAAUUGCUUGGUGUACAGCUAACUCUACACAUUUGGUGACAGAGAAAAGAUAUGGAAUCCUGGCUUGGACUAAUCGCUCGGUGUCUGGGAAUGGGAGGCUCUGCUCUCCUGUACACAGGCUGUCACGCUGCCCAUUGUCCUGUGAUUCUAGGUCUCCUCCCAGAGUGAGAGAGGAUGAAAACUUAAGGAGCUCUGAUGACAGUCCCCCUUUUCCCACAGCUGCCACCACAGUAUUCCCACCCACUCAUAAACAUACCCACUAGACAUUGACAUGUCCACACCCCUCCCCGGACUAGACACCACCAUCAGGAACUUCACCAUGGCAUUUUUCAUUCUAGUGUUUCUUGCCAAAAACCCACAAAAGUGUCUAUAAGUCUGGCAUAUCCCCACACCCAGACACUGAAUCUGCAGCAGAAACCUGUUUUCUCCACCUAGGGUUCUGGGCCACCUGUUCAUAACCUCAUCAGUCUACAUGGACCCAGAAAUAGCACAAACCAGUUCUUCUGCCUACAUUAGACUCUCCCCCACUAAUGGAGUUUUUACUUUUUAAUGUUUAUUUUUGGUUCAGGGGUACAUGUGCAAGUUUAUUAUAUAGAUAAAACUGUCAUGGAAAUUUGGUAUAGAUUAUUUUAUCACUGAAGUACUAAGCAUAGUACCCAACAGGUAUUUUUUCUGAUCUUUAUCCUUCCACUCUCUACUCCAAAGUGGGCCUCAGUGUCUGUUCCUCUCUUUGUGUCCAUGGUUUCCUUUUCUUUUUCUUUUUUUUUUUUUUAAGACAGAUUCUUGCUCUGUCACCCAGGCUGGAGUGCAGUGGUGCCAUCUCGACUCACUGCAACCUUGGCCUCCUGGGUUCAAGUGAUUAUUCUGCCUCAGCCUCUCAAGUAGCUGGGAUUACAGGCAUGCACCACCAUGCACGGCUAAUUUUUGUAUUUGUAGUAGAGAUGAGGUUUUGCCAUCUUGGCCAGGCUGGUCUUGAACUCCUGACCUCUGGUGAUCUGCCCACUUUGGCCUCCCAAAGUGCUGGGAUUACAGGUGUGAGCCACCGUGCCCAGCCUGUGUCCAUGUUUCCUUUUCUUUUUUUUUCUUUUUCUUUUUUUUUUUUUUUUGAGACAGAGUCUCACUCUGUCUCCCAGGCUGGAGUGCAGUGGCAUGAUGAUCUCGGCUCACUGCAAGCUCCACCCCCCGGGUUCACGCCAUUCUCCUGCCUCAGCCUCCUGAAUAGCCUCCCGAAUAGGUGCCUGCCACCACGCCCAGCUAAUUUUUUUUUUUGUAUUUUUUUUUAGUAGAGACGGGGUUUCACUGUGUUAGCCAGGUUGCUCUUGAUCUCCUGACCUCGUGAUCCACCUGUCUCAGCCUCCCAAAGUGCUGGGAUUACAGGCGUGAGCCACCGCACCUGGCCUCAUGUUUUCUUGUUAUUAUCUCUUAACUUAUAAAUAAGAACAUGCGUUUGGUUUUCUCUUUCUGUAUUAGUUUUCUAAGGAUAAUGGGCUUCAGCUCUGUUCAUGUUGCUGCAAAGGACAUAAUCUUGUUCUUUUUUUAUGGCCACACAGUAUUCCAUGAUGUUUAUGUACCAUAUUUUCUUUUAAAUAUUUUAUUUUAUUUUGGGGGGAGACCCAGGCUGGAGUCUGGGCGCCCACUGUCCUGUGAUGGGCACAAUCUUGGCUCACUGAAGCCUCAACAUCUUGCAUUCAAGCAAUCCUCCUACCUCAGCUCUCCAAGUAGCUGGGGCUACAGGUGCACACCACCACGACUGGCUAAUUUUUCUUUCUGUAUUUUUUGUAGACCAACAAAUGUUGCCUUGGUUGGUCUCAAACUCGAACUUAGGCAAUCCAUCUGUUUUGACCUCCCACAUUCUGGAAUUAUAAGCAUGAGCCACUUUGCCCAGCCAUACCAUAUUUUCUUUAUCCAGUCUGCCAUUUUUGAUGAGCAUGUUGAUUCCAUGUCUUUGCUAUUGUGAAUAGUGCCACAGUGAACAUGCAUGUCUAUGACAGAAUAACUUAUAUUUCUUUGGGCAUAUACCCAAUUAUGAGGUUGCUGGGUCAAAUGGUAAUUCUGUCUUUAAUUCUGUGAGGAAUCACCACACUGGUUUUCACGAUGGUUGAACUAAUUUACACUCCCACCAGCAGUGUGUAAGCAUUCCCUUUUCUCCACAACCUUGCCAGCAUCUGUCAUUUUUUAACUUUUGAGUAAUAGCCAUUCUGACUGGUGUGAGAAAGUAUUUUGCUGUGGUUUUUCUUUGCAUAUCUCUACUGAUUGGUGAUGAGCAUUUUUUCAUAUGCUUUUAGCCACACACAUGUCUUUUUUUAAAAAGCAUCUGUUCAGGCCGGACGUGGUGGCUCACGCCUGUAAUCCCAGCACUUUGGGAGGCCGAGGC
rnacentral:lncRNA from 1 species